UACGAAGGGGGCUAGCGUUGUUCGGAAUCACUGGGCGUAAAGCGCACGCAGGCGGAUCGAUAAGUCGAGGGUGAAAGCCCGGGGCUCAACCUCGGAAUUGCCUUCGAUACUGUCGGUCUCGAGUCCGGGAGAGGUGAGUGGAAUUCCUAGUGUAGAGGUGAAAUUCGUAGAUAUUAGGAAGAACACCAGUGGCGAAGGCGGCUCACUGGCCCGGUAUUGACGAUCAGGUGCGAAAGCGUGGGGAGCAAACAGG
rnacentral:rRNA from 1 species